rnacentral:rRNA from 1 species
UACGUAGGGUGCAAGCGUUGUCCGGAAUUAUUGGGCGUAAAGAGCUCGUAGGCGGUCUGUCGCGUCGAAUGUGAAAACCCGAGGCUCAACCUCGGGCCUGCAGUGGGUACGGGCAGACUAGAGUGCGGUAGGGGAGAUUGGAAUUCCUGGUGUAGCGGUGGAAUGCGCAGAUAUCAGGAGGAACACCAAUGGCGAAGGCAGAUCUCUGGGCCGUAACUGACGCUGAGGAGCGAAAGCAUGGGGAGCGAACAGG